UACGGAGGGUCCAAGCGUUAUCCGGAAUCAUUGGGUUUAAAGGGUCCGUAGGCGGUUUUGUAAGUCAGUGGUGAAAGCCCAUCGCUCAACGGUGGAACGGCCAUUGAUACUGCAAGACUUAAAUUAUUAGGAAGUAACUAGAAUAUGUAGUGUAGCGGUGAAAUGCUUAGAGAUUACAUGGAAUACCAAUUGCGAAGGCAGGUUACUACUAAUGGAUUGACGCUGAUGGACGAAAGCGUGGGGAGCGAACAGG
rnacentral:rRNA from 1 species